UAUUUGUAUAAAUAAUGGCAUCAUUCUACGAGGGCGACCCGCUGAACUUAAGCAUAUUAAUAAGCGGAGGAAAAGAAACUAAAUAGGAUUCUCUUAGUAGCAGCGAGUGAACAGAGAGAAGCUCAUCCUGAGGGUGUACUAGUUGCACCGAUGCGGG
rnacentral:rRNA from 1 species